AGAACGAACGCUGGCGGCAGGCCUAACACAUGCAAGUCGAACGCUCUUUUCGGAGAGAGUGGCGCACGGGUGAGUAACGCGUGGGAAUCUGCCCUUUGGUUCGGAAUAACCCUGGGAAACUAGGGCUAACACCGGAUAAGCCCCGCGAGGGGGAAAGUUUACGCCGAAGGAGGAGCCCGCGUCCGAUUAGCUAGUUGGUGAGGUAAGAGCUCACCAAGGCUACGAUCGGUAGCUGGUCUGAGAGGACGAUCAGCCACACUGGGACUGAGACACGGCCCAGACUCCUACGGGAGGCAGCAGUGGGGAAUAUUGGACAAUGGGCGCAAGCCUGAUCCAGCCAUGCCGCGUGAGUGAUGAAGGCCUUCGGUUGUAAGACUCUUUGGUCGGGACGAGUGAUGACGGUACCCGCAGAAUAAGCCCGACCGAAACUCGCGCACGCACGCCGC
rnacentral:rRNA from 1 species